rnacentral:rRNA from 1 species
AUGAACCGUUAUAACCGGCGAUACCCGAAUGGGGAAACCCAGUGUGAUUCGUCACACUAUCAUUAACUGAAUCCAUAGGUUAAUGAGGCGAACCGGGGGAACUGAAACAUCUAAGUACCCCGAGGAAAAGAAAUCAACCGAGAUUCCCCCAGUAGCGGCGAGCGAACGGGGAGGAGCCCAGAGCCUGAAUCAGCAUGUGUGUUAGUGGAAGCGUCUGGAAAGGCGCGCGAUACAGGGUGACAGCCCCGUACACAAAAGCGCAUGUGCUGUGAGCUCGAUGAGUAGGGCGGGACACGUGGUAUCCUGUCUGAAUAUGGGGGGACCAUCCUCCAAGGCUAAAUACUCCUGACUGACCGAUAGUGAACCAGUACCGUGAGGGAAAGGCGAAAAGAACCCCGGCGAGGGGAGUGAAAAAGAACCUGAAACCGUGUACGUACAAGCAGUGGGAGCACCCUUUGGGUGUGACUGCGUACCUUUUGUAUAAUGGGUCAGCGACUUAUAUUCUGUAGCAAGGUUAACCGAAUAGGGGAGCCGGAGGGAAACCGAGUCUUAAUUGGGCGUUAAGUUGCAGGGUAUAGACCCGAAACCCGGUGAUCUAGCCAUGGGCAGGUUGAAGGUUGGGUAACACUAACUGGAGGACCGAACCGACUAAUGUUGAAAAAUUAGCGGAUGACCUGUGGCUGGGGGUGAAAGGCCAAUCAAACCGGGAGAUAGCUGGUUCUCCCCGAAAGCUAUUUAGGUAGCGCCUCGUGAAUUCAUCUCCGGGGGUAGAGCACUGUUUCGGCUAGGGGGCCAUCCCGGCUUACCAACCCGAUGCAAACUGCGAAUACCGGAGAAUGUUAUCACGGGAGACACACGGCGGGUGCUAACGUCCGUCGUGAAGAGGGAAACAACCCAGACCGCCAGCUAAGGUCCCAAAGUCAUGGUUAAGUGGGAAACGAUGUGGGAAGGCCCAGACAGCCAGGAUGUUGGCUUAGAAGCAGCCAUCAUUUAAAGAAAGCGUAAUAGCUCACUGGUCGAGUCGGCCUGCGCGGAAGAUGUAACGGGGCUAAACCAUGCACCGAAGCUGCGGCAGCGACACUGUGUGUUGUUGGGUAGGGGAGCGUUCUGUAAGCCUGUGAAGGUGUGUCGUGAGGCAUGCUGGAGGUAUCAGAAGUGCGAAUGCUGACAUAAGUAACGAUAAAGCGGGUGAAAAGCCCGCUCGCCGGAAGACCAAGGGUUCCUGUCCAACGUUAAUCGGGGCAGGGUGAGUCGACCCCUAAGGCGAGGCCGAAAGGCGUAGUCGAUGGGAAACGGGUUAAUAUUCCCGUACUUGGUGUUACUGCGAAGGGGGGACGGAGAAGGCUAUGUUGGCCGGGCGACGGUUGUCCCGGUUUAAGCGUGUAGGUGUGUGUUCCAGGUAAAUCCGGUUCACUUUAACACUGAGGCGUGACGACGAGGCACUACGGUGCUGAAGCAACAAAUGCCCUGCUUCCAGGAAAAGCCUCUAAGCAUCAGGUAACAUCAAAUCGUACCCCAAACCGACACAGGUGGUCAGGUAGAGAAUACCAAGGCGCUUGAGAGAACUCGGGUGAAGGAACUAGGCAAAAUGGUGCCGUAACUUCGGGAGAAGGCACGCUGACACGUAGGUGAAGUGAUUUACUCAUGGAGCUGAAGUCAGUCGAAGAUACCAGCUGGCUGCAACUGUUUAUUAAAAACACAGCACUGUGCAAACACGAAAGUGGACGUAUACGGUGUGACGCCUGCCCGGUGCCGGAAGGUUAAUUGAUGGGGUCAGCGCAAGCGAAGCUCCUGAUCGAAGCCCCGGUAAACGGCGGCCGUAACUAUAACGGUCCUAAGGUAGCGAAAUUCCUUGUCGGGUAAGUUCCGACCUGCACGAAUGGCGUAAUGAUGGCCAGGCUGUCUCCACCCGAGACUCAGUGAAAUUGAACUCGCUGUGAAGAUGCAGUGUACCCGCGGCAAGACGGAAAGACCCCGUGAACCUUUACUAUAGCUUGACACUGAACAUUGAGCCUUGAUGUGUAGGAUAGGUGGGAGGCUUUGAAGUGUGGACGCCAGUCUGCAUGGAGCCGACCUUGAAAUACCACCCUUUAAUGUUUGAUGUUCUAACGUGGACCCGUUACCCGGGUUGCGGACAGUGUCUGGUGGGUAGUUUGACUGGGGCGGUCUCCUCCUAAAGAGUAACGGAGGAGCACGAAGGUUGGCUAAUCCUGGUCGGACAUCAGGAGGUUAGUGCAAUGGCAUAAGCCAGCUUGACUGCGAGCGUGACGGCGCGAGCAGGUGCGAAAGCAGGUCAUAGUGAUCCGGUGGUUCUGAAUGGAAGGGCCAUCGCUCAACGGAUAAAAGGUACUCCGGGGAUAACAGGCUGAUACCGCCCAAGAGUUCAUAUCGACGGCGGUGUUUGGCACCUCGAUGUCGGCUCAUCACAUCCUGGGGCUGAAGUAGGUCCCAAGGGUAUGGCUGUUCGCCAUUUAAAGUGGUACGCGAGCUGGGUUUAGAACGUCGUGAGACAGUUCGGUCCCUAUCUGCCGUGGGCGCUGGAGAACUGAGGGGGGCUGCUCCUAGUACGAGAGGACCGGAGUGGACGCAUCACUGGUGUUCGGGUUGUCAUGCCAAUGGCACUGCCCGGUAGCUAAAUGCGGAAGAGAUAAGUGCUGAAAGCAUCUAAGCACGAAACUUGCCCCGA